rnacentral:rRNA from 1 species
GACGAACGCUGGCGGCGUGCUUAACACAUGCAAGUCGAACGGAAAGGCCUCUUUCGGGGGGUACUCGAGUGGCGAACGGGUGAGUAACACGUGAGUAACCUGCCCUUGACUUUGGGAUAACUUCAGUAAACUGGGGCUAAUACCGGAUAGGAGCUCCUGCUGCAUGGUGGGGGUUGGAAAGUUUCGGCGGUUGGGGAUGGACUCGCGGCUUAUCAGCUUGUUGGUGGGGUAGUGGCUUACCAAGGCUUUGACGGGUAGCCGGCCUGAGAGGGUGACCGGCCACAUUGGGACUGAGAUACGGCCCAGACUCCUACGGGAGGCAGCAGUGGGGAGUAUUGCACAAUGGGUGGAAGCCUGAUGCAGCAACGCCGUGUGCGGGAUGACGGCCUUCGGGUUGUAAACCGCUUUCGCUCAUGACGAAGCUUUGUGUGACGGUAGUGGGUAAAGAAGCACCGGCUAACUACGUG